AGCGAACGCUGGCGGCAGGCCUAACACAUGCAAGUCGAGCGGAUGACGGGAGCUUGCUCCUUGAUUCAGCGGCGGACGGGUGAGUAAUGCCUAGGAAUCUGCCUGGUAGUGGGGGACAACGUUUCGAAAGGAACGCUAAUACCGCAUACGUCCUACGGGAGAAAGCAGGGGACCUUCGGGCCUUGCGCUAUCAGAUGAGCCUAGGUCGGAUUAGCUAGUUGGUGGGGUAAUGGCUCACCAAGGCGACGAUCCGUAACUGGUCUGAGAGGAUGAUCAGUCACACUGGAACUGAGACACGGUCCAGACUCCUACGGGAGGCAGCAGUGGGGAAUAUUGGACAAUGGGCGAAAGCCUGAUCCAGCCAUGCCGCGUGUGUGAAGAAGGUCUUCGGAUUGUAAAGCACUUUAAGUUGGGAGGAAGGGCAGUAAGCUAAUACCUUGCUGUUUUGACGUUACCGACAGAAUAAGCACCGGCUAACUCUGUGCCAGCCGCCGCAGUAA
rnacentral:rRNA from 1 species